CAACCCACCAACGGUCAUAUUGUCAGGCUGCGCAGAGUGUGCAGAACGGCCAGAAAAAGCAGAGUAACGGCUAGUUUCCGUGGGGGUUGGCUUAAAUAGCCACAGAGGACUGUAGCAAGGAAGAGAACACACUUUCCACUCCAAGCAUUCAAGCUUUCAAGCUCUCCAAGUGCUCUUCAACGAGAAAAAGGGAAGAUCUGCAUUUACUGCUCC
rnacentral:lncRNA from 1 species